CAACCUCAACUCAUAUGGGACUACCCCCUGAAUUUAAGCAUAUUAAUUAGGGGAGGAAAAGAAACUAACAAGGAUUUUCUUAGUAGCGGCGAGCGAAAAGAAAACAGUUCAGCACUAAGUCACUUUGUCUAUAUGGCAAAUGUGAGAUGCAGUGUAUGGAGCGUCAAUAUUCUAGUAUGAGAAAUUAAUGAUUUAAGUCCUUCUUAAAUGAGGCCAUUUACCCAUAGAGGGUGCCAGGCCCGUAUAACGUUAAUGAUUACUAGAUGAUGUUUCCAAAGAGUCGUGUUGCUUGAUAGUGCAGCACUAAGUGGGUGGUAAACUCCAUCUAAAACUAAAUAUAACCAUGAGACCGAUAGUAAACAAGUACCGUGAGGGAAAGUUGAAAAGAACUCUGAAUAGAGAGUUAAACAGUACGUGAAACUGCUUAGAGGUUAAGCCCGAUGAACCUGAAUAUCCGUUAUGGAAAAUUCAUCAUUAAAAUUGUAAUAUUUAAAUAAUAUUAUUAAGAAUAAUGUGCAUUUUUUCCAUAUAAGGACAUUGUAAUCUAUUAGCAUAUCCCAAAUUUAUCAUAAAAUAUAACUUAUAGUUUAUUCCAAUUAAAUUGCUUGCAUUUUAACACAGAAUAAAUGUUAUUAAUUUGAUAAAGUGCUGAUAGAUUUAUAUUAUUACAGAGCGUUAUUUUUCGGAAUUAUAUAAUGGCAUAAUUAUCAUUGAUUUUUGUGUUUAUUAUAUGCUCUUGUAUGAUUAACAAUGCGAAAGAUUCAGGAUACCUUCGGGACCCGUCUUGAAACACGGACCAAGGAGUCUAACAUAUGUGCAAGUUAUUGGGAUGUAAACCUAAUAGCGUAAUUAACUUGACUAAUAAUGGGAUUAGUUUUUUAGCUAUUUAUAGCUAAUUAACACAAUCCCGGGGCGUUCUAUAUAGUUAUGUAUAAUGUAUAUUUAUAUUAUUUAUGCCUCUAACUGGAACGUACCUUGAGCAUAUAUGCUGUGACCCGAAAGAUGGUGAACUAUACUUGAUCAGGUUGAAGUCAGGGGAAACCCUGAUGGAAGACCGAAACAGUUCUGACGUGCAAAUCGAUUGUCAGAAUUGAGUAUAGGGGCGAAAGACCAAUCGAACCAUCUAGUAGCUGGUUCCUUCCGAAGUUUCCCUCAGGAUAGCUGGUGCAUUUUAAUAUUAUAUAAAAUAAUCUUAUCUGGUAAAGCGAAUGAUUAGAGGCCUUAGGGUCGAAACGAUCUUAACCUAUUCUCAAACUUUAAAUGGGUAAGAACCUUAACUUUCUUGAUAUGAAGUUCAAGGUUAUGAUAUAAUGUGCCCAGUGGGCCACUUUUGGUAAGCAGAACUGGCGCUGUGGGAUGAACCAAACGUAAUGUUACGGUGCCCAAAUUAACAACUCAUGCAGAUACCAUGAAAGGCGUUGGUUGCUUAAAACAGCAGGACGGUGAUCAUGGAAGUCGAAAUCCGCUAAGGAGUGUGUAACAACUCACCUGCCGAAGCAACUAGCCCUUAAAAUGGAUGGCGCUUAAGUUGUAUACCUAUACAUUACCGCUAAAGUAGAUGAUUUAUAUUACUUGUGAUAUAAAUUUUGAAACUUUAGUGAGUAGGAAGGUACAAUGGUAUGCGUAGAAGUGUUUGGCGUAAGCCUGCAUGGAGCUGCCAUUGGUACAGAUCUUGGUGGUAGUAGCAAAUAAUCGAAUGAGACCUUGGAGGACUGAAGUGGAGAAGGGUUUCGUGUGAACAGUGGUUGAUCACGAGUUAGUCGGUCCUAAGUUCAAGGCGAAAGCCGAAAAUUUUCAAGUAAAACAAAAAUGCCUAACUAUAUAAACAAAGCGAAUAUAAUACACUUGAAUAAUUUUGAACGAAAGGGAAUACGGUUCCAAUUCCGUAACCUGUUGAGUAUCCGUUUGUUAUUAAAUAUGGGCCUCGUGCUCAUCCUGGCAACAGGAACGACCAUAAAGAAGCCGUCGAGAGAUAUCGGAAGAGUUUUCUUUUCUGUUUUAUAGCCGUACUACCAUGGAAGUCUUUCGAGAGAUAUGGUAGAUGGGCUAGAAGAGCAUGACAUAUACUGUUGUGUCGAUAUUUUCUCCUCGGACCUUGAAAAUUUAUGGUGGGGACACGCAAACUUCUCAACAGGCCGUACCAAUAUCCGCAGCUGGUCUCCAAGGUGAAGAGUCUCUAGUCGAUAGAAUAAUGUAGGUAAGGGAAGUCGGCAAAUUAGAUCCGUAACUUCGGGAUAAGGAUUGGCUCUGAAGAUUGAGAUAGUCGGGCUUGAUUGGGAAACAAUAACAUGGUUUAUGUGCUCGUUCUGGGUAAAUAGAGUUUCUAGCAUUUAUGUUAGUUACUUGUUCCCCGGAUAGUUUAGUUACGUAGCCAAUUGUGGAACUUUUCUUGCUAAAAUUUUUAAGAAUACUAUUUGGGUUAAACCAAUUAGUUCUUAUCAAUUAUAACGAUUAUCAAUUAACAAUCAAUUCAGAACUGGCACGGACUUGGGGAAUCCGA